CUGUGUUUAGAGGAAUGCAAUUUGACCUGGUAAAACAAGCCAGUUUCAUGUGAGAGAGAGAGAGAAAGAGAGAACAAAGGGAAGUCAGCUGAAGCAGCUUGGGGCAGGGCUCUGCUCAUGCGUUAUUUUCCAUGUGACCUCAGCUGAGCUCUCUCUCUCUGGAGGAGACUGCCUGGCUGGGGAGCACCAAGGAAAAUCUGGCAGUGCCUGAGGGAGGGAUGAGCUGCUCUGGAGGAAGCCCCAGGGAGAGGCCAACAUAGUAAGAAGCUGAAGCCUUCUACCAACAGUGAGUCUUUAAGAGAGGUGGAGAAUGCAGAGCCCAUUCAGAAGAAUUGAGGCACCUUGAGCCCAGGUCACAAGAAGAAUGGUUUUUGAAAACUGGAAGGCCUUGCUUAAAGUCACUUCCUUAACUCAUCAAUGGCCUAAAUCACAUAGCUGCAUCCCAUGCGAUUGGAAAUUAAAAAAAAAAAAAAAUCGGAGCACUGAAAAAAAGAAGGAAGUCAACCAUGUCAUAUACUGCUGAGAAGUCAGCAAAAACAUGGGACUGGUCACAACAAAAGGAAAAAAAAGACAAAAG